rnacentral:lncRNA from 1 species
UCGUUUGUGGUUAUGUGGUUGUAGAUUGACAAGAAGUUGUAAACUAAAUUGAGUACAUGAUGGUUUGGUUGGAUAAUAUAUUUUUUUGAGAUUUUUUUUUGUUAGUAUCAUUGUGGAGGGACUAAAGAUGUGGUCGUCUGUUGGAUCAUGUAAAUGAAGUUGUGGUGAAUGAUGUUUUGUACUUGUGGUUAGCGGGUGGGAUAUGUGUUGAGCAGUCAUAUGUAUGAAAGAUAUAUUGUUCCACG